rnacentral:tRNA from 1 species
GGUUCCGCAGUUUAGCGGUUAGCAUGUCUGCUUUACACGCAGAAGGUCCUGGGUUCACAGCCCAGUGGAGCCA